rnacentral:lncRNA from 10 species
UUAUAGAACACCAAAUGUUCUCACAUAUUGUACAAACAUUUUACAUGAAAAGUGAGCAGAAAUGGAGCACCAAAAAAAAAAAAAAAAUUAAAAAGACUUUCACUCAUCAGAUGACCAGAUGAGCCCUUUUAUCUACAGGAGCUGUAUAUACUGGUUUGAAUCCAGUGCUUCCCUUCAUGUACCUGUGUGUCAAAGACAUUAUUCAGCAAAAUUCCAUACUGAUGAGAGAGGCAAUCAGAAAGCCAACGACAAUCAUGGAUAACCUAAGGAAUCAGAAGGAAACAGUCAUUAGAACCUGGCUGCUAAUCUUAAUAGCACAGGAAUCAGUUUAUAUACUUACCUUCAAAAUUCUCUUGUCUUCUAGUAUCAUCUGAAGUCCAUUGUGGAAAGCUCGACUUCCCAGAAGGAAAAUGUCAAAUAAGUAAACUCGGCAAUUUGUGGCCACCUACAAUAGACCAUCCAGACACACAUACCAUAGGAUAAGAAAGAACUGAGGAAGGGAAAUUUGAGGAUGAAGAGUAAAAGACGUGAUAAAAUAUCUAACAUCUUCACUUUAUUUAUUUAUUUAUUUAGAGACAAAGUUUCACUCUGUUGCCCAGGCUGGAGUGCAGUGGCACAAUCACGGCUCACUGCAACCUCUGCCUCCUGAGUUCAAGCAAUUCUCCUGCCUCGGCCUCCUGAUAGCUGUGAUUACAGGCAUGCGGCACCACGCCCAGCUAAUUUUUUUUUUUUUUUUUUUUUUGAGACAGAGUCUUGCUCUGUCACCUGGGCUGGAGUGCAGUGGCGCGAUCUUGGCUCACUGCAGCCUCUGCCUCCUGGGUUCAAGCAAUUCUCCUGUCUCAGCCUCCCAAGUAGCUGGGAUUACAGGUGCACGCCACCAUGCCCAGCUAAGUUUUGUUAUUUUUAGUAGAGAAGGGGUUUCACCAUGUUGGCCAGGAUGGUCUCAAUCUCUUGACCUCAUGAUCCACCCGCCUUGGCCUCCCAAAGUGCUGGGAUUACAUGUGUGAGCGUCCAUGUCCAGUGAGAAAGGGUUUCACCAUAUUGGCCAGGCUGGUCUCGAACUCCUGACCUCAGGUGAUCUACACACCUCGGCCUCCCAAAGUGCUGGGAUUACAGGCAUGAGCCACUGCACCUGGCCAAUUUUUUUUAUUUUUUGUAGACAUGGGGUUUCACCAUGUUGGCCAGGCUGGUCUCAAACUCCUGACCUCAAAUGAUCCACCCGUAUCAGCCUCCCAAAACUUUAUUUUUUUUGAGACAGGGCCUUGCUCUGUCACCCGGGCUGGACAACAGUGGCUUUAUCUUGGCUCACUGCAAAUUCAACCACCCAGGCUCUUGUGAUUCUCCCACCUCAGCCUCCCAAGUACCUGGAUUACAGGCACCCACCACCACGCCCAGCUAAUUUUUGUAUUUUUUGUAGAGACUGGGCUUUGCCAUGUUGCCCAGGCUGGUUUCAAACUCCUAGGCUAAAGCA